CAGACAGACAGGCAGUAGAUGCAGCACAGACAGACAGAUGCAGCACAAACAGACAAACAGACAGAGAGACAGUAGAUGCAGCACAGACAGACAGACAGUAGAUGCAGCACAGACAGACAGACAGACAGUAGAUGCAGCACAGACAGACAGACUGUAGAUGCAGCACAGACAGACAGACAGACAGACAGUAGAUGCAGCACAGACAGACAGACAGACAAUGCAGCACAGACAGACAGACAGACAGUAGAUGCAGCACAGACAGACAGACAGACAGACAGUAGAUGCAGCACAGACAGACAGACAGUAGAUGCAGCACAGACAGACAGACAGACUAUGCAGCACAGACAGACAGACAGACAGACAGAUGCAGCACAGACAGACAGAUGCAGCACAGACAGACAGACAGUAGAUGCAGCACAGACAGACAGUAGAUGCAGCACAGACAGACAGACAGACAGACAGACUAUGCAGCACAGACAGACAGACAGUAGAAGGACUACACAAGACAGUGGGGAUGCAACGUGUCUGAGUGAAGUUGAAUUGUGGAUGCACAGACUGUUCUGAUGUCUCAAGUGUGUGUGUGUGUGUGUGAAAAUGAGUGUGUGUGUGUGUGUGUGUGUGUGUGUGUGUGUGUGAAAAUGAGUGUGUGUGUGUGUGUGUGAAAAUGUGUGUGUGUGUGUGUGUGUGUGUGUGUG
ensembl:lncRNA